GACGAACCGAGCGAACGUUGUUCGGAAUCACUGGGCUUAAAGGGCGCGUAGGCGGGCAUUCAAGUCUGUGGUGAAAUCCUCCAGCUCAACUGGAGAACUGCCUCGGAUACUGGGUGUCUCGAGGGUGGUAGGGGUAUGCGGAACUAUCGGUGGAGCGGUGAAAUGCGCAGAUAUCGGCAGGAACACCGGUGGCGAAGGCGGUUCUCUGGGCCUGUACUGACGCUGAGGAGCGAAAGCGUGGGGAGCGAACAGG
rnacentral:rRNA from 1 species